CAUGCAGUCGAGGGGCAGCAUGGUGUAGCAAUACACUGAUGGCGACCGGCAAACGGGUGCGGAACACGUACAGAACCUUCCUUCGAGCGGGGAAUAGCCCAGAGAAAUUUGGAUUAAUACCCCAUAGUAUAACAGAGAGGCAUCUCUUUGUUAUUAAAGAUUUAUCACUUGAAGAUGGCUGUGCGGCUGAUUAGGUAGUUGGCGGGGUAACGGCCCACCAAGCCUACGAUCAGUAACUGGUGUGAGAGCACGACCAGUCACACGGGCACUGAGACACGGGCCCGACUCCUACGGGAGGCAGCAGUAAGGAAUAUUGGUCAAUGGACGAAAGUCUGAACCAGCCAUGCCGCGUGAAGGAUGAAGGUCCUCUGGAUUGUAAACUUCUUUUAUAUGGGACGAAAAUGGGCCUUUCUAGGUCAACUGACGGUACCAUAAGAAUAAGCACCGGCUAACUCCGUGCCAGCAGCCGCGGUAAUACGGAGGGUGCAAGCGUUAUCCGGAUUCACUGGGUUUAAAGGGUGCGUAGGUGGGUUGGUAAGUCAGUGGUGAAAUCCCCGAGCUUAACUCGGGAACUGCCAUUGAUACUAUCAGUCUUGAAUAUCGUGGAGGUCAGCGGAAUAUGUCAUGUAGCGGGUGAAAUGCUUAGAUAUGACAUAGAACACCANUUGCGAAGGCAGCUGGCUACCNAAUAUUGACACUGAGGCACGAAGCGUGGGAUCAAACAGGAUAGAUACCCUGGUAGUC
rnacentral:rRNA from 1 species